rnacentral:lncRNA from 1 species
UUCGGAGAAAUUCUCACUUCUUUCUGCUAACCAUAGCCUCUACUUCUAAAAACUCCAUCUUCAAAGAAUAACGAAAGAAAUUGAUGAUGAUUCUCCUCCAACAGGUGAGCAUCAUUAUCCCCAGAAGGCUUAAUACAACGAAGGACUUUAAAAUGAAGUUCCCUUCUGCUAAGUCUCGCACAUAGGUUAUUGGUGUAUACCCUUCUUUCAUCCGUCCUUCUAGCAUUCUUGCUGUGAAAAAAACUAUGGUUUCCAUGAUCUGAAUAUCAUCGCUUCUGAUCUAACAGAGCAAGUGACCUUCCCUAGGAAGGGUUUCACGUACGCUUACAUGAACCCCUUUAUUUUGG